rnacentral:rRNA from 1 species
AUUGAACGCUGGCGGAAUGCUUUACACAUGCAAGUCGGACGGCAGCGCGGACUUCGGUCUGGCGGCGAGUGGCGAACGGGUGAGUAAUGUGUCGGAACGUGCCAAGUAAUGGGGGAUAACGCAGCGAAAGCUGUGCUAAUACCGCAUACGCUCUGAGGAGGAAAGCGGGGGACCUUCGGGCCUCGCGUUAUUUGAGCGGCCGACAUCUGAUUAGCUAGUUGGCGGGGUAAAGGCCCACCAAGGCGACGAUCAGUAGCGGGUCUGAGAGGAUGAUCCGCCACACUGGGACUGAGACACGGCCCAGACUCCUACGGGAGGCAGCAGUGGGGAAUUUUGGACAAUGGGGGCAACCCUGAUCCAGCCAUUCCGCGUGUCUGAAGAAGGCCUUCGGGUUGUAAAGGACUUUUGUCCGGGAGCAAAGCCUGCUGGUUAAUAACCGGCGGGGAUGAGAGUACCGGAAGAAUAAGCACCGGCUAACUACGUGCCAGCAGCCGCGGUAAUACGUAGGGUGCGAGCGUUAAUCGGAAUUACUGGGCGUAAAGCGUGCGCAGGCGGUAUUGCAAGUCUGAUGUGAAAGCCCCGGGCUUAACCUGGGAACGGCAUUGGAAACUGCAAAACUAGAGUACGUCAGAGGGGGGUAUGAUUCCACCUGUAGCAAUGAAAUGCGUAAAGAUGUGGAAGAAUACCCAUGGCGCAAGGAGCCCCCCGGGAUGAUACUGACGCUCAUGCACCAAAACGGGGGGGAACAAACAGGAGUAAUAACCUGGUAGUCCCCGGCCCAAACGAUGUCCAUUAGCUG